CAUACUUAUUUUUAUUUAUUUUUUUAAAAAAUGGAAGUAGAGAAAAACAGACUCAAGAAAAAUGUAAUCAAAAGUUCUAAGUACCACUGCUGCUGGGUAGGCACUUCGUUAUUUUAAUUUUCUUUCUUUGAUUUUCAUGAUUUUUCUAAAAUAGAUGGAAACAACUUUGAAUCAGAAAAGAUGAAUGAAAAAGACUAUUUUAAUCUAAUUCUUUUCAUGGCAAUUCUUACAUUUGCCAGAAAAUUAUUCUUGAUGACAUGAGAAGAUGAUUCAAAAUCAUCAACCAUCUUCAGAAGGCCUAACUCUGUGAGAAUCUGACGUACUUCACCAUGGCGAGAACAGUGAAUAACAGUGGCCUCAUUCUGCCAUGAUGACGAAUGGGUGAAAAGGCCUACCCGACAUGCCCUGGUCUACUGUUUAUACAGUGGUUAAACUAGGACCCAAUACGAGAACAGCUACGCACAUUAGUUAAGGAUUGUCCUUAGAGAGAACAGCAAAGAACUUUGGAGAAAAGAUGAACAUUAAAUAAUCUGAGUUCAUGCUGUCAGACGAGCGAGUUCACGUUCCGUUUAGACAGGUACAUGAGCAACAUCAGACAGCACACAGUAAUUUGGAACAGCUGUUGGCAGGCUUUCAAAUAUGUUAGUGUAAUUUUUUUUUUGAUUAAUCCUGUUAAAGUUUUCCAGGGAGUACACAGUCGUGAAAUUACACGAUCACUGGUUUGGUUGCACACUAUAUUUCUUGAGAUCUAUGAACAUUUACUUCUAGGGCAUAAAAGAUGAUGUUUAUUUUAGUAUUUGGAAAGGUACGUUAGCCAUAAUGGGCCAAUAUGCUGGCUCUAUCCAAUGGCUUGGAAGAUCUGCAACUCUGGCCCUCCAGAGAGGAGGCUUCAUCUUGCCUUCCUACCAAGGGCCACUCUGAAGGACUUUCAUCAUUCCGAGAAGACAGGCAUGGUGCUGGGCGAGUAAGUCACUUGUUUGCAGAAGGUGAGAUCAGAUGAGGCACAGUAGAGCCCUAUCUUCAACUGAGAGAACACAAUUUACUAUCUGUAAGUAGCCUGAGAAAUGCCUCUUCCUGACAAUGUCCGUGGCCAGUGAGAAUCCAUCUGUAACGUGUGGUCACAUGCUCUGCUGCUAAAACUUCAUGCUUUGCACUCUGGACCAUCACGCACACUGUCCUUCAUAAUAUUGUCUACAUAAUUUUUAUUCAAAGUGCUUGGAACUUGGCAACCAUCCCAAUACUAAAAGGCUACACGCUUGGCUGAGACUCCAGUUGCCUGAUGCCAGGCUGAGCCCAGAGGAAGCACAGUUCUGAAGACCCAUGGAGGACCUGCUCUGGCUGUUACUACCAGGUUGCUGAAACCAAACUGAUGCUCUGCUAGUGGCUCGGUGUUGGUUCAUGCAGUCGCUCACUCAAGUCACCACCGCCCGUGCUAUCUUGUGUGUGUGUGUGUUUCACCUCCAACUAGUACUGUCACGCACCAGAUACUGGAUAACGCUGACAAAAUGCUGACAAAAGUAAGCUAGGCACUGUAGAUGGUAACUCGCACUUUACCUGCUCAGACGGGAUAGAAAGUGGAGCAGUGACAAUGCAGAAGGCCAAGCACACCUCCCAGACAAGGAGAGUUGGAGAGGAGAACCUGCUCGCUUCCUCACUGGGGGCUUUAAGACCUGUUGACUGCAUACCUCUGCUAAGUACUAAGUUCCAGGAAUAUGAAAGAACAAGACAUCGCCACACUCUAUGAGCCUGUGUCCUGGAAGGAGGGCCAGAUAUAAGUGAGUAAGGAAGAUACAGCUUGUUACGAUGGCGAUGAUGCUUUAGCAGAAUGUAAACUUGAGAGUGUGGGACUGGGUUGCCGUGGUGAGCAUGGCUAGCUCGCAUCUCUCUAGCCAGGUGACAUGAGGACAGAAGGAAGGAGUGCCAGCCCUUCAGACCCGAGGGAGGGACCCGGAGGAAGGGAGCACCAUAUAAAAAUCUUGGGGAGGAGUGUGCUUGGCUCACUGCAGUAGAGGAAGAUGCCACAGUAGGAAGAAGUUGUGGGGUGAGGAGCCGGGGUACACCGUGCUUUACAGUCAGUGUCAAUACCAGGCUUCUGGACAUCUACUUAAGACAGCUGAGAAAGAAGGCAAAGUCCAUGCAAAGCUAUCCAGUGACCAUGCAGAGUUGUCAAGUGACCAUGCCAAACUGUCAAUGACCAGGCAUAGCUGUCAAGUGACCAUGCACAGCUAUCAUGUGACCAGACACAGGACAAGUCUUGACACUAUGCUCACUGCCCUGGAACUGCACACUACGUGCCACCCCUUCCCAAUGCCAGAAAAAUUGUCUUGCAUAUCCUUUUUCAAUUUUUAAUAUGAGGGGACCAUAUAUAAUGCUUUUCAUUUUUGUUUAAAUUAAGCCUACUUUUCACUUUUAAAACCAAAGCUGUUUCUGACCGAUGAGAACUUUUGAUUCACAGAACACCAGGAAGAAUACUCAAAAGGAUAAUUAAUCCUCAAAAACAUAUCACUCCCUUCUUCCUGGUGAGGCUUCCAAGGACUAAACUGAUUCCAAAAUUCCUCACUGAGUCACUUAAUGAAGAUCAGGAAUACUUCAAAAAAAAAAAAAAAAAACCAGGAAGAACAAGAUCCAGGAGUCAAAUGGUUAAAUUCAACUUAUCAUCCAGCCCAAAUCGAUGAGGUACCACAUAGAGAGCUAAAGGAAGGGCAAGACACUGUUCUUCCAGAACGAAAUGGGAGGCAGAGAGUGUAAUUCUCAUUAUACGUCUGGAGUUGACUGAACACAGCUGCAGCCACCGUCCUAAUUCUUUGUCUGGCAGUCUUCCAGGUCACUGUCAUUGGUGUCACUGGUGACACUGGGUCUAUGGGUUACAGUGGCUUGUAGGUGAGGUGUGUUGACUUGGGUUUACCUGUGUUUCUGGACUGGCACUUGCCCCCAGCAGUUUUUUGGUUUUUGGUUUUUGUGGUUUUGGUUCCUUAUAUUUUGAUCAAGGCCACUUUUCUUCUUUAAGUGAUGCAGGAAUCCAGGAGGGCUGGGCAGCAGAGAGGAACAAAAUUCUACAUUUCUGCCUUGUCAAUGAUGCAAUACCUUUAUCCCUUGGAGCAACAUGAGCAUGUGUAGUUUAGUCUCUGAUUUGCCCAAACAAUCACAUGGGGCAACUCUGUUCUUGCUGUUUGGUUCCUCGUUAUUCUGAUUACUUUUUUCAAUUGUUAAUGAAACUGUAUUUUGUAGGCUUUUGUCUUUGGUUUUUCUACCCUGAGGAACUCUACCUGUGCUCACCUGUGGCUCUCAAGUGACUCCAUUUUGCCUGUCCCAGGAUGCCCACCAUCCGAAACCAAGAAAAGUGAGCCUUCACUGCAAACCACGGUUUCAGGAGGGGUUAGAUGCUCCCAUGCCCGUCUGCAGUGGUAAACCUGUAUUUCCUAUUUCCCUAAAUUCAACUUUCUGUCUGAACAUCCAGAGGCUCUGCCGGAUGGAGGCUUUAAUCCAGCUUUCUGUUCAGGUCCUGCCAGUGUGCAAUGCCAUCUUAUCUACGACCCGAGCUACGACCUGUCUUCCUCCGUUCCUUUAAUGUCACACUCCUGCCAUCUCCAUGGUUUCAGAGCAGAGGGCGGGCACAAAUUCUUAGCAGGUUGGUACCCAGGUUACAGUGACUCACAGGACUUUUAAGGGUUCUGACUCAUACAGUGAAACUGCCCUCCUGGUAUCAAUUCUCAUGGUCAUCAGCAGACAACCCCCAUUCCUUCAUUGAUUCAAACACCAGUUAUUACCAAACUUGUACCUUUUUAGCAAACUGACUAAUGAAAAACAAGUCCUCCUGCCCCACUUUCCAUUCUUUCUGAGUCAGGUUAGAUAACUCUUCGUGUAUGUAUCAGCAUUUGUGGUAUCCCUUGUGAAAUGCAUGGUGGGACAGCUCAUCUGCUUCCUCAUCGACCUCCCACUGAUACCUUUCCUCCUCCUAUAGCUACAAAUCCGUUCUGUUACUGUGGAAAGACAACGAACUCAGAGUCAUGUAAUCCAAUCCCCGAGACUUCCGCCAUCUCUCCUUCUGCUGGGCAGCUGUCUAGGGAAGGACCAGGCCUCCAGCAGAGCCACCUUCAUGCGUCCUGGAUAACAUGCCACUUCCCAUGUUCUCCUCAAUUAAGACAACAAUACUUGGCCUCCAUUCAACCAAGUUAGCUGCAAUGUUCCUCGAUCUCAAAAAGCUCUCUUUUAAGGGAAAAACAUUUAAACUCAAUAAAAACCACAGAUUCAAACUAAUAGAAUAGACACAAGCUCUCUGGAUAACUUGAAAACCAAUUUACUUGUCCUACUAACUUAACUUUUUAAAGUUCUCAGCUCUGGUCACCAUCUUGGGGGAUGUACCGUCCAAGUUUCACACAGGAAAAGGUCUCCUGAAGAAAACUGCCAAGGGAAUGCCAAAGCAACGGAAGUGAAGCGAAAGGGAAGUAUGGUUGAGGAGGGAUGGGGAAGAGCUAGACCUUGGGGGAUGUUUACACACCUGAAGAAGAUGGUAUUAAUAUCGAAGCAGUGUAUGUAACAGGACAGUAUGUAAGGUCCUGUCCUAAGGACCAGUGACUCCACACAGUCCUACAGUGUUGGCCCUGACCACUGCACUGCAUACCUAUGCUAAGUUCUUCAGGCUCCAGAUUCUUCUGCUGAAACCAGAGAUGCUACUUAUUGAGGCUCUGCCCCACAGUGGCAUACAGGCCUUGAUUCUGUAAGUGUAUCCGCCCGCUGAGGCUAACAAGAGCAACUGCCAAGUUUGGAAAUCCCUUGCUGCCCUUUCUACUGACAUCCUAGCUCUGAGGACCUAAUAACAAACUCUUUGACAUUUCCAAGAGGCAAAAUCCCUCCUGUUCAGAAGAAAAAGCCAAGUUCUCUCAGCUAUGCUCAGGGCUCUUAGCAUCCUGAAACCAUACACCUUGGUAGUCCAUCAAAAGGUCAGGGUCAGGGCCCCACAAGACCUCCCAUGUGUUUGGCCAGGCUUUAGCACAAUGGACCUUAGCUCUUCCUGCUAACAGUCCAACUGCAAACAGGCACACUUGAGACCAGUAGGACUUUGAAUUUCUUUGUAAUUAGACAAAGCUUUAACCAUUACACCGACAUCAAACAGCCUGCCACAGGAAAGCAGACGCACAUGUUGCUGCUGUAACGUCACGGGAAGCAGUUCAGUGACUGUCGGCUUAAUAAGCCUUUGCUCUCCAUCCUGCAUGUGUCCUCUGCUGCUUCCAAACAGGUGCUGCACAGUAAGACAGGAGAUGCCUCCCCUGGAGUGGGAGCAACUGGCUUGUAGGAGACCCAAUUUACCAAAUAACAACAAAAAUUCUUUAGUUCCUUACAGUCACUUCGACUAGUAGUUUUGUCCAGUAGUGAUGAAAAGUUAAGAGAGGAAUACCCACAGAAAUGACCUAUUUAUGUAGCCCAGAAGUUUCAGGUAUAAAACAGAUUCCGGAAAGUCAGUGUGCUCUCUUUAUUUUCGCUACUUCGUGAGGGAAGCAUAGGACAGAACCCCAUUAGCGUACAUUUCACCUUAUUUCUGUAUGUGCAUCUGAUGCUUUGAGUUUUUGUUCCCAACUAUACCAUGAAGAAUAAUCCUGAUGUCCUAGUUCCUGCUCUCACUGCUGGGAAAGCAACCUAAGGAGGCAGAGGAGUGUGGGCUCGCUGCGUGUCACGCCGCAGAAGUCCCUCAAGUCCACCUUCUCCUUUCUCGGCUUUCAUGCACCCAUUUCUCCUGUUUCUAAUCUUGUGUCAACAGCACCAUCAGCCUAACCACGAAAUCUGGAAUUCUAUCUCCUGUUCCUCCUCCUUCUCCAUUUCAGUCCUAUUUAUUAACUUUGCAAACUACGCUACCCUCUUUUAAGUAAAUAUAAGGACUCAAAGCCUCCAUGUUCACAACAGCCAAUGGUAGAAGCCACCCAAGUGUCCACAAUGCAUGAAUCCUAAGUAAACUGUAGUUUACACACACACCAAGCAACACUAUUCAGCCCUCAACAGGGAUGAAUCUAUAUAUCAUCAUAUAUGUGUCUUGAGCAGAUUAUGUUAAAAGAAAAUAAACAAGUCACAAAGGGUCAAAUAUUAUACAAUUCCAAGAGUACUGGCACCUAGAACAAUCCAAUUUUAAAAGGUAGGAAAAAAAUGGGGCCAGACAGACGGCUGUGCAGUUAAAAGCACUGACUAUUCUUCCGGAGAACCUAGGCUCAAUUCCUGCACAAACAUGGCGGCUCAGAGCUGCCCAUAACUCUAGUUACAAUGGAUCCAGCACUAUCUCCCAGCUUCCAUGUGGACAUGGUACACAGACAUGCAUGCAUGCAUACAUACAUACACACCAGCAAAGCACCCAUGCAUAAUAAAUUAACAUUUUAAGAUGAGAAAUGGAAACUUAUAA
rnacentral:sRNA from 1 species